GGCACACCCAUCGCGCUGCCCCGCCCUAGUGCUCGGAGCUGCUUCUGGCUUCUCCAGCUCCCGGAGCGCGUCUCUCCGCAAAGAGCUGUGGUAAGAGCUCGGGCCACCGCGGGGCGACUGCGAUUCAGGGUCCCAGGGCUAAACUCAGGAAAGGCGGAUUAAGGGGAGGACGCUGGAGCUGUAGGCGGGGCCUCCACGACACCCGAGGACUCCCUAACGACCCGGUCUGGAAGUUCCUUGCUGAGGUCCUAGCUGAGGCCGCUGAGGUUGCUGCCAGAGUUUAAAAGUUUUAAAAAUACGAAUGGUGGCUUUCUAUGAAGCGUGUUUUCUAGAACUCUCAGUAGCCCUGAGCCGCUGGUGUCGCUAUGCUCUGUCCCAGAGUGAAGGAGGUGGUCACAAACCCAGGCUGCGUGAUAGCUGUAGGGCUGCACACAAACCGUGGAAGACUGAUGAAUAUGCAUACACCUGUUCGCUGUGCAUCUUGGAGCCUGAAGGAUUUCCUUCUGGAAUGGGAAGAAUGGCAGGAACUAGCAAGAGCUGUACGCAAGGCGACAACUUGUGAAGGGGCCAGGGGUGGUUUAAUGGGUGAAAACACUUGCUGCCAAGCCCGAGGAGGACAUGAGUUUGAUCCCCGGGACCCCCGUGAUGGAAGGGCAGAAUGGACUUCCACAAGUUGUGGUGCCGUACCUCGUAAGUAUACGGAAGGACACAUCACUGGCAUGUAAUAAGCAACCCGCUGGAGAAGUGGUAAAGUCGAGAUUCAUAAAGCAUUCCGGAUAUUAAACGCCCUGCAGGUUUUCUCAGUGGAGUAAAUAAAGACAUAAUGUGUUAAGUGGUUACAGAAACACAUUUACUCAUAACUGUCAGUGAGACAUGGGUGAGCACCAAGGGGCUAAAGACACAUUCCCACCCUUUCCUGGAGCUACAUUAGAAAGCAGUAAAUACCGUGGAAGGAAGAAAAUGGCUGCAGCCAGUGACUUUUAGGGUCACUUUAAAUUUAAUCCAGGGUGGCCCUCUUCAGAUCAAAGUGGGAAGGCUUGAAAGUCAAGAAAAUAUCGUUAUAUGAAGCCUUGGUGGUAGAAUGUACCAAAAAUAAAAAAUAAAAUAAAUAAAAAUCCUGCUAUCUUGUUACCGGACUAACCAUAUAUGGCAGACUUAUGUCUCCUUCCAUUC
rnacentral:lncRNA from 1 species